rnacentral:rRNA from 1 species
GAUGAACGCUGACAGAAUGCUUAACACAUGCAAGUCUUUGGCGAAGCUGUGCUUGCACAGCCUAGCCAAGGCGGACGGGUGAGUAACGCGUAAGGAACUUGCCCUGCAGUCAGGGAUAACAGACGGAAACGACUGAUAAGACCUGGUAAAGUCAGGCGGACUCAUGUCCAGCCUGAUGAAAAGAGAUGCUGCAGGAGAGCCUUGCGUCCUAUUAGCUUGUUGGUGGGGUAACGGCCCACCAAGGCGAUGAUAGGUAGCCGGCCUGAGAGGGAGGACGGCCACAAGGGGACUGAGAUACGGCCCUUACUCCUACGGGAGGCAGCAGUGGGGAAUAGUGGACAAUGGGGGCAACCCUGAUCCAGCAAUUCUGUGUGCACGAUGAAGGUUUUCGGAUUGUAAAGUGCUUUCAGCAGGGAAGAAAAAAAUGACGGUACCUGCAGAAGAAGCGACGGCUAAAUACGUG